GCCUCUGUGGCGGAAUUGGUAGACGCAACAGUUUUAGGAACUGUCGCUAUACGGCGUGGGGGUUCGAGUCCCCCCGGAGGCA
rnacentral:tRNA from 1 species